rnacentral:rRNA from 1 species
GGCUCAGGAUGAACGCUGGCGGCAUGCCUAAUACAUGCAAGUCGAACGGGGUGCUUGCACCCAGUGGCGAACGGGUGAGUAACACGUAUCUAAUCUACCUCUUAGUGGGGGAUAACAGUUGGAAACGACUGCUAAUACCGCAUACGACACCAUUAUGGCAUCAGAAGGUGUUAAAAGGUCCGUUUGGACCGCUAGGAGAUGAGGAUGCGGCGUAUUAGCUAGUAGGUGAGGUAAUGGCUCACCUAGGCGAUGAUACGUAGCCGAACUGAGAGGUUGAUCGGCCACAUUGGGACUGAGAUACGGCCCAGACUCCUACGGGAGGCAGCAGUAGGGAAUUUUUCACAAUGGGCGAAAGCCUGAUGAAGCAAUGCCGCGUGAGUGAUGAAGGUCUUCGGAUUGUAAAGCUCUGUUGUAAGGGAAGAAAUGCUAGAAGAGGAAAUGCUUUUAGUUUGACGGUACCUUACCAGAAAGCCACGGCUAACUAUGUGCCAGCAGCCGCGGUAAUACAUAGGUGGCAAGCGUUAUCCGGAUUUAUUGGGCGUAUAGGGUGCGUAGGUGGUUAGUUAAGUUUGAGGUUAAAUCCCAGGGCUCAACCCUGGUCCGCCUUGAAAACUGGCUAACUAGAAUACAGGAGAGGUAGAUGGAAUUCCAUGUGUAGCGGUGGAAUGCGUAGAUAUAUGGAGGAACACCAGUGGCGAAGGCGGUCUACUGGCCUGUGAUUGACACUGAGGCACGAAAGCGUGGGGAGCAAAUAGGAUUAGAUACCCUAGUAGUCCACGCCGUAAACGUUGAGUACUAAGUGUCGGCAAUUUGUCGGUGCUGCAGCUAACGCAUUAAGUACUCCGCCUGAGUAGUAUGCUCGCAAGAGUGAAACUCAAAGGAAUUGACGGGGACCCGCACAAGUGGUGGAGCAUGUGGUUUAAUUCGAAGCAACGCGAAGAACCUUACCAGGGCUUGACAUCCAGUGCAAAACUACAGAGAUGUAGUGGAGGCCAACAUUGAGACAGGUGGUGCAUGGUUGUCGUCAGCUCGUGCCGUGAGGUGUUGGGUUAAGUCCCGCAACGAGCGCAACCCCUAUCGUUAGUUACUAACAUUAAGUUGAGCACUUUAACGAGACUGCUAGUGUAAGCUAGAGGAAGGUGGGGAUGACGUCAAAUCAUCAUGCCCCUUAUGUCCUGGGCUACACACGUGCUACAAUGGCUGAUACAAAGAGUCGCAAUCCUGUGAGGGGGAGCUAAUCUCAAAAAGUCAGUCUCAGUUCGGAUUGAAGUCUGCAACUCGACUUCAUGAAGCCGGAAUCACUAGUAAUCGCGAAUCAGCAACGUCGCGGUGAAUACGUUCUCGGGUCUUGUACACACCGCCCGUCACACCAUGAGAGUUGGUAAUACCAGAAGCACGUAUCUUAACCGUAAGGAGAGAGCGUACCAAGGUAGGAUUAGCGAUUAGGGUGAAGUCGUAACAAGGUAUCCGUACGGGAACGUGCGGAUGGAUCACCUCCUUUCU